rnacentral:miRNA from 1 species
CAUUAUUGAAUUCGAAACGGUGA